rnacentral:rRNA from 1 species
GACUACAGGGGUAUCUAAUCCUGUUUGCUACCCACGCUCUCGCGUCUCAGCGUCAGUAUAGGGCCAGGAAGUCGCCUUCGCCACCGGUGUUCCUCCUGAUAUCUACGAAUUUCACCUCUACACCAGGAAUUCCACUUCCCUCUCCCCUACUCGAGCCUGACAGUUUCAAAUGCACUUCCCGGGUUGAGCCCAGGGCUUUCACAUCUGACUUACCAAGCCGCCUACACGCUCUUUACGCCCAAUGAUUCCGAACAACGCUUGCACCCCCCGUAUUACCGCGGCUGCUGGCACGGAGUUAGCCGGUGCUUCCUCUGGCGGUACCGUCAAGCAUGGCGGCUGUUCACCUCCAUGCAUUUCUUCCCGCCUGACAGAGCUUUACGACCCGAAGACCUUCCUCACUCACGCGGCGUUGCUGCGUCAGGGUUUCCCCCAUUGCGCAAGAUUCCUCACUGCAGCCGCCCGUAGG